rnacentral:rRNA from 1 species
UACGUAGGGGGCAAGCGUUGUCCGGAUUUAUUGGGCGUAAAGCGCGCGUAGGCGGCGCGGUAUGUCGUGCGUGAAAUCUCCCGGCUUAACUGGGAGGGGCCGUGCGAAACUGCCGGGCUUGAGGUCGGAAGGGGAAAGUGGAAUUCCGGGUGUAGUGGUGGAAUACGUAGAUAUCCGGAGGAACACCAGCGGCGAAGGCGGCUUUCUGGUCCGAUACUGACGCUGAGACGCGAAAGCGUGGGGAGCGAACAGG